AAACCCGUUUCAAGAUGAAUUCUGCCAUAUUAAGUAAGGCCUGUAGUAGGUGACUACGUUGAUAGGCCGGACGUGGAAGCGUGGUAACACGUGAAGCUGACCGGUACUAAUCGGCCGAGCGGCUUUUUUCUA
rnacentral:rRNA from 1 species